GAUGAACGCUGGCGGCGUGCCUAAUACAUGCAAGUCGAGCGAACAGAUAAGGAGCUUGCUCCUUUGACGUUAGCGGCGGACGGGUGAGUAACACGUGGAUAACCUACCUAUAAGACUGGGAUAACUUCGGGAAACCGGAGCUAAUACCGGAUAACAUAUUGAACCGCAUGGUUCAAUAGUGAAAGGCGGCUUUGCUGUCACUUAUAGAUGGAUCCGCGCCGUAUUAGCUAGUUGGUAAGGUAACGGCUUACCAAGGCAACGAUACGUAGCCGACCUGAGAGGGUGAUCGGCCACACUGGAACUGAGACACGGUCCAGAUUCCUACGGGAGGCAGCAGUAGGGAAUCUUCCGCAAUGGGCGAAAGCCUGACGGAGCAACGCCACGUGAGUGAUGAAGGUCUUCGGAUCGUAAAACUCUGUUAUUAGGGAAGAACAAACGUGUAAGUAACUGUGCACGUCUUGACGGUACCUAAUCAGAAAGCCAACGGCUAACUACGUGCCAGCAGCCGCU
rnacentral:rRNA from 1 species